CCAAACCCUAAAAUUAUUUCUAUCAUUUUCUCUCUCUCUUCAUAGUUGUAUCCCUCCACAGCCACCAUUUUCCCCCUCUCUUCAUCUUCUCUCAUCCCUCCACCAUAGCCACUCACAACGUUGCAGCCUCGCCCCUACACUAUACCCAAAAUUGGAAGAUCGUUGCAACGACAGGCACUUACGGUCGCAUCACGCACGACGACAGACACCGUCGUGCGUGAUCUCUCUUCUUUUUCUUUUUUCCUUUUUUGUCUUCUGCAUCUAUUCCUCUAUUGUUCGCUGUUGAUGGUGUUGAUCGAUGCGAGUAGCAAGGAACAACCUUGAUCUACAUCCAGUGUCGCUCUAACCGGCGACAAUCUCCACCUCGGCUUCGUCCUGUCACUGUUGUAGUUCGAUGGCGAUGGUGGUGCUACAGGCACUUGGUGCAGGUGAUGGUAGAUUUGGCGACAGCGGUGUGCAGUGUUGGGUACGCUGAUGGUGGCAGAUUUGGCUGUAGCGGAUCUGGUGAUGGCGAUGAAUGUAAGGUGUUGGUAAUUUGAUGGUUUUUUAUUAACAGUGAAUGAGUGUUGUUGGAAAUGGUGGUUAUAGUGGUGGUGGUGGUGGUGGAGAUGGCUGGUUGGUGGCGACGACGACAGUGAUGUGAUGGCUUUGCCGUGGUGGUGGUGGGGUGGCGAGACGACUAUACGGUGGUGGCUUUGUGGGGAGUUGGCAAUUCUGUAUCUGGUUUGUUGGUGGUAAGGUGGUGCUAAUUGCGAUGUUUGAGAUGACGGGGCUGUCGGGAGAUGGUGGUGGUGGUUGUUUUUGUGGCGACAAUUGUGACGUUGAUGCGACUGGCAAUAGUGGUGAUCACAAGUGUUGGUGGCGGUCACAAAUGAUUUAAUCUGUGACCAACAAACAAUAUAUGACCAAAGAGAAAGAGGAAUUGUGACCAAGAAAUAACAUGUAACCUAAAAAUUGUUAAUUUGUGAUCGUUUAAUAAAUUGUGACUUAUAAUAUUUGUCAUCUGUGAUCAAUAAAUAAAAUUGUGGCGUAUAAAUUUUUGAUCUGUGACCGAUGAAUAAACUGUGACCUAUAAAAUUUUUGAAUUAUAGCGUAUAAAAAUUUUGAUUUGUGACAAAAAAAU
rnacentral:lncRNA from 1 species